rnacentral:misc_RNA from 1 species
GAUUCCGAGUUUAUAACUGCUGCAAUGCUUGAGAAUGAAUCUGUAUCAUCAACUGGUUGUGGCUGCUCCUGAUUCCUUCCUAAAGGAUGGUUAGGCAAAAAUGCCUCAAUUAACCUUUCAUUAGAAUUCAAAGCAGAAGAAUUUGAAGUGUGCGCUGACAAUCUUUGAGAGUGUGAUUGUGAUCUUCGAAGUAACAGCGAAUGAAGCCGGCGGGCUGACCUUGCAUCAGGGCUACUUGUGCCACUCUGUGUUAAAUCCACUAUGUCAUCAAUAGGUGCAAUUGGACUUUGCUCAGUGCGCAUUCCUCUAAGUGUC